rnacentral:rRNA from 1 species
UACGUAGGGUGCAAGCGUUGUCCGGAAUUAUUGGGCGUAAAGAGCUCGUAGGCGGUUCGUCACGUCGGCUGUGAAAACCUGAGGCUCAACCUCAGGCCUGCAGUCGAUACGGGCGGACUUGAGUACUGCAGGGGAGACUGGAAUUCCUGGUGUAGCGGUGAAAUGCGCAGAUAUCAGGAGGAACACCGGUGGCGAAGGCGGUUCUCUGGGCAUGUUCUGACGCUGAGGAGCGAAAGUGUGGGGAGCGAACAGG